GAUCUCAAAUCAGGUAGGACUACCCGCUGAACUUAAGCAUAUCAAUAAGCGGAGGAAAAGAAACUAACAAGGAUUCCCCUAGUAACUGCGAGUGAAGCGGGAAGAGCUCAAAUUUAAAAUCUGGCGUGCCUCUGGUCGUCCGAAUUGUAGUCUGGAGAAGCGUUUUCCGUGUUGGACCGUGUAUAAGUCUCUUGGAACAGGGCGUCAUAGAGGGUGAGAAUCCCGUCUUUGACACGGACUACCAAUGCUUUGUGAUGCGCUCUCAAAGAGUCGAGUUGUUUGGGAAUGCAGCUCAAAAUGGGUGGUAAAUUCCAUCUAAAGCUAAAUAUAGGCGAGAGACCGAUAGCGAACAAGUACCGUGAGGGAAAGAUGAAAAGCACUUUGGAAAGAGAGUUAAACAGUACGUG
rnacentral:rRNA from 1 species